rnacentral:rRNA from 1 species
UGUGAAUUGCAGAAUUCCGCGAAUCAUUGAGUUUUUGAACGCAAGUUGCGCCCGAGGCUCGUCCGAGGGCAUUUCCGUUAGAGCGUCACCG